ensembl:lncRNA
AAAUUCAUCAUGUCAUUGCUUUUUAAUUUUACAGUCAUACAAUCUUUUUUUGUUUCUUUCCAGUGUCUCAAAACCAUAAAAAAUAAAUAUACAUUAUGUUACAAAACAUUUCCAGUGUCUCAGAUUAUACAAAAACACACAUCUUAUCAACAGCAUUGAUUACAUAAGGGCAAAACACUGGGCGUGUACAGGAUGUAAGGUACAAAGGCAUUUAGCGACUGUACAUUGUAAAAUGACCUUUUACUAGCUGCAUAAUGCUUCAGAGCUGCUGUCAUUUUGAGUUUUAACCCACAUUUGAAAACUUAGCGAUUAAAAGGCAGCAUCAAUUACGCAAUUUCUGAACAGACCCGCUUAGUCUGUUUCUUACUUUUACACUACGAAAGAUCAACAAAUGGCUUUUUUUUAUUUUAUUUUAAAGAUUCUGCACUAAAAUGGAGUUAAACCGAGCUGACGGCCAACUCUAAUCUGCUUAUUCACCAGAUCUCAUGACUUUGGUAACCAGGAGUGUGUCUUGCAUUGGAUAAACAGGCUCGACAAACACUGGAAAACAAGGCUUCAGGUUCACAGUGCUCCAACUGCAAAGCUGAGUUUUCAGCAGAGGAGGAAUUCCUCUUCAUUCCACAUAAUUAAAGUUCAUUUACACCGUACUCUUGCGUGUGUGCAUGCACUCAAACACAACAGCAGCAGCCUGUGAAUGCACCGCCGUAGAGUGGAAGUCCACUGUAGCCUUUUACAGUAUUGUGUGAGCUUGUAAGGCCUCGAUGCAGCAUGAAGGCACGCGGCGCAUAUUUGUUGUUCUCUGACUGUUAGACCGGCGUACGAUGUGAUUUGUUCUUUUUUUUCACUACUGCUUUCUUGCUAAAACUGACAUAGAAAAUAGAUCAUUUCUUCUUCACUUUUUAAAAUUAUCUACAUGUUACUUACACUCUAAAUACACUGCACCGAGAGGCUGUGGAAGCCUUUCUUUAAUUAAAACAAAAAAGAAGAGCACUUUGUGUUUCAUAGCUCUGCCCAGCAUGAACUGUGUCAGACAUCUGAGGGACCUGCAGUCUUUGAAAUCAUUUUGGAUUACAACUGUGACGGUACCAGCCUUUAGAGGUUCGUGAACAGUGAUUAUUACAUCUGACACUUUGCUAACUUCACCUAAAGAAACAGAACAUAUUGAUGUGCUCCUCGCCAACACUAGAGAAGAGCUUCAUGUUAGGGCCCACAAUGCAUUCUGGGUGUCAUUCUUCAUCUUCCGACUCUUCCUAAUGAUUUCCAUUAGUGGUUUUGGCACACGUGGCUCAACUGUGUCUUUACACAGUCCAGCACAGCGUUCCCUUUGUUAUCGCUCACAUCUCUGCUUAUUUUCUCAUCUAAGGCAGUCCUAACGUCUGCAAUUAAUACUGCUCGCCCGAGAAAGGAAACAUGACGGGAGCGGCGAUGCUGACAGGAUCAGGCUUCUCUUCAUCCAUCCUUUAACACCUCUCCAUCUUGCAACUUUUCCUUUCAUGUUCCUCGACUCUUGGUCCCCUCAGCCCCGACCUGGCAGGUUGUUUAGCUCCUCCUCUCAUAAAGGCAGGCUGGUCUGGGUUUGCCUAACAGGUCAGAUCGAAGUCUCGUUACUGCCACUGUUAACAGAGGGGAACAAAAGGACAGGAGGGAGAGGAGAGGGAGGGGGAUGCAAAGAGAAAGAAAAGAGGGGAACAUGCAAGGUAAAAUGAGUGCAGGGAUGCGGGAGGGUCCUCAUGCAGCAUUUAAUC